rnacentral:rRNA from 1 species
AGGACGAACGCUGGCGGCGUGCUUAACACAUGCAAGUCGAACGGUAAGGCCCCUUCGGGGGGUACACGAGUGGCGAACGGGUGAGGAACACGUGGGUAAUCUGCCCUGCACUUCGGGAUAAGCCUGGGAAACUGGGUCUAAUACCGGAUAUGAACUCCUGCCGCAUGGUGGGGGUUGGAAAGUUUUUCGGUGCAGGAUGAGCCCGCGGCCUAUCAGCUUGUUGGUGGGGUAAUGGCCUACCAAGGCGACGACGGGUAGCCGGCCUGAGAGGGUGAUCGGCCACACUGGGACUGAGACACGGCCCAGACUCCUACGGGAGCAGCAGUGGGGAAUAUUGCACAAUGGGCGAAAGCCUGAUGCAGCGACGCCGCGUGGGGGAUGACGGCCUUCGGAUUGUAAACCCUUCGUACGUAGGGACGAAGCGACGAAGUGACGGUACUGCAGAAGAAGCAACCGGCUAACUACGUGCAGCAGCCGAC